GACGAACGCUGGCGGCGUGCUUAACACAUGCAAGUCGAGCGGUAAGGCCCUUUCGGGGGUACACGAGCGGCGAACGGGUGAGUAACACGUGGGUGACCUGCCCUCAGCUCUGGGAUAAGCCUGGGAAACCGGGUCUAAUACCGGAUAUGACUCCAUGACGCAUGUUGUGGGGUGGAAAGCCUUGUGCGGCUGAGGAUGGGCCCGCGGCCUAUCAGCUUGUUGGUGGGGUGAUGGCCUACCAAGGCGACGACGGGUAGCCGGCCUGAGAGGGCGACCGGCCACACUGGGACUGAGACACGGCCCAGACUCCUACGGGAGGCAGCAGUGGGGAAUCUUGCGCAAUGGGCGAAAGCCUGACGCAGCGACGCCG
rnacentral:rRNA from 1 species